rnacentral:rRNA from 1 species
CCUCAGUAACGGCGAGUGAAGCGGCAAAAGCUCAAAUUUGAAAUCCUCCGGGAAUUGUAAUUUGAAGGUGGGGUUGAAUAGGUCUAGAUACUUUAAGUCCAUUGGAAAAUGGCGCCAUGGAGGGUGAUAGCCCCGUAAAAGUAUUAACGCCUUCUUUUCUUCCCCUCCUAAGAGUCGAGUUGUUUGGGAAUGCAGCUCUAAGUGGGUGGUAAAUUCCAUCUAAAGCUAAAUAUUGGCGAGAGACCGAUAGCGAACAAGUACAGUGAUGGAAAGAUGAAAAGCACUUUGAAAAGAGAGUGAAAAAGUACGUGAAAUUGUUGAAAGGGAAGGGCUUGCAAGCAGACACAACCUCGGUUGGGCCAGCAUCGGAGUGGGGGGAGACAAAAAAGGUUAAGAAUGUAGCUCCCUUUAGAGUAUUAUAUCCUGGCCCUAUAUCUCCACCCCCUUCCGAGGCCUGCGAUUCUUCAAGGAUGCUGGCGUAAUGGUUGCAAGUCGCCCGUCUUGAAACACGGACCAAGGAGUCUAACGUCUAUGCGAGUGUUUGAGUACCAAACCCAAACGCGCAAUGAAAGUAAUAAG